CUAGCGGCGGACGGGUGAGUAACGCGUGGGAACGUACCCUUUUCUGCAGGAUAGCCACUGGAAACGGUGAGUAAUACUGCAUACGCCCUUCGGGGGAAAGAUUUAUCGGAGAAGGAUCGGCCCGCGUUAGAUUAGGUAGUUGGUGGGGUAAUGGCCUACCAAGCCUACGAUCUAUAGCUGGUUUGAGAGGAUGAUCAGCCACACUGGGACUGAGACACGGCCCAGACUCCUACGGGAGGCAGCAGUGGGGAAUCUUAGACAAUGGGGGCAACCCUGAUCUAGCCAUGCCGCGUGAGUGAUGAAGGCCUUAGGGUCGUAAAGCUCUUUCGCUGGGGAAGAUAAUGACGGUACCCAGUAAAGAAACCCCGGCUAACUCCGUGCCAGCAGCCGCGGUAAUACGGAGGGGGUUAGCGUUGUUCGGAAUUACUGGGCGUAAAGCGCGCGUAGGCGGAUCAGAAAGUUGGGGGUGAAAUCCCGGGGCUCAACCUCGGAACUGCCUCCAAAACUCCUGGUCUUGAGUUCGAGAGAGGUGAGUGGAACUCCGAGUGUAGAGGUGAAAUUCGUAGAUAUUCGGAAGAACACCAGUGGCGAAGGCGGCUCACUGGCUCGAUACUGACGCUGAGGUGCGAAAGUGUGGGGGAGCAAACAGGAUUAGAUACCCUGGUAGUCCACACCGUAAACGAUGAAUGCCAGUCGUCGGGUAGCAUGCUAUUCGGUGACACACCUAACGGAUUAAGCAUUCCGCCUGGGGAGUACGGUCGCAAGAUUAAAACUCAAA
rnacentral:rRNA from 1 species